CCCUUAGAUGUUCUGGGCCGCACGCGCGCUACAAUGGUCUUCGCAAACGGAUGCAUUCUCGAAGGAGAAUGCCAAUCUUGGAAUCUAUGCCUUGGUCGGGACAGUUGCUUGCAAUUUUUCGACUCGAGCCAGGAAUUCCUUGUAAUCGUGAUUCAUCACAUCACGAUGAAUACGUCCCUGCCCUUUGUACACACCGCCCGUCGCUCCUACCGAUCGAAGAGUUAGGUGAAUUGUUUUGAUCGAUAAGAUUUGACUAUGGUCAACUCUCGUUGUGAAAUUCUGUGAAUCUGACUGUUUAGAGGAAGGAAAAGUCGUAACA
rnacentral:rRNA from 1 species